UGCUGGUUUACAGUUUAUAUAUCUUCAUCAUUACUAAAAAUGUCAAAUUGUUUUCUAAAGUUGUACCAAUUUAUACUCUCACAAAGAGCAUAUAAAGAGUUUUCAUUGGUCUACAAUCUUGCUAAGAUUGGCAUUGUCAGUAACAGUAUCUCAUUUUUAUUUUAAGGUGCACUUCUCUGAUUACUCAUGAGGUUGAGUAUAUUUUCAUAUGUUUAUUGCCCAUCCAUAAUUUAGCUUCUGAUAUUUUAAGACUUGCCCUUUCUACAUAAAUAGCAUGACUGACUCAAUGUGCAAGCAAUUCACCCUGGAUCUUGUAGAAAUCCUUAUAAGAUGAAGUUGUCUUUAAGCAUUCCAGUAGACUUUUCAUAAAGAAAUGUAUAACAUGUUGUUUUGAACUCUCUCACAUUACUUUCAGACUGUUGUAGACUAAACAUCUAGCAGUUUCCGAGCAUUCAUAGUAUACAAUCAGAAUAUAAUAAGCUACCAGCCAGGUCAAGGUUCUUGGAUGCAAACAUGAAUGUCAACUUUCCUGAGGGAGAAGGAUUCAUAUUUUUGCAAAUUGUAAAUGACAGUUUUGCUUUAUGGGUUAUCUUCAUAGGCGAUAUGACUGACUUUGAAGUCUGGUUUUAUGGGUUAUCUUCAUAGGAGAAGUUAAAAGAUACAGUGGAAUAUUUUACCUGUUGGAAUUAGAAAAGUGAGAAUAAAGUCAAUUUCUCUUAAUCUAGCCCAACAUCAAUUAUUCUAGUUUAGGAUGUAGAUAGUAGAUAGUAGCCUAAUGUAGACAGUAGAUUCCAGACUAACUCAAGCAGCACCUUACAUUAGAAGUACUAAUUAUUUUCAGUCAGCCCACAAAUAAAAAUGAAUUACAUGGUUUAGUAUAAAUAUCCAAAAAUGCUACAUUCACUUUCUUCGUCUUCUUGAACAACUGAGUCAAUCCCAUUAAACUGGGCUGAGCAAAGUAGGCUUCGGGGAUUGAAGUAGGCAAGUGGUAGUAGGACGGUCCAGGCAUGGAAUUGUCAUCCAAAUAGGAUGAGGAGGGAAUUUGCACGGGGGCAGCCGGGUUUAGGGUUUUGGAGUGAGAACAUCUGUGUCAGCAGAGAGGAUGGGCAGCGGUGAGAAAUUGAUUACAUAUGGAGAACUAAUCCAAUAAGUAAAUAUACUAAAGAUAAUGAGAGCCAGCUUCCUUACUGUUAAAUAAGAGAAAUCUAUGGUAUUGAAGUGGAAUUAGAAUUGCCUGUUUGGACUCAUUGUUUUCAAUAUAUAGAGACAGAGAGAUAUGUAUUCACAAAGAGCACACCUAGCACAGAGGGCACCUUGGAAAAAUAUCCAAUCCCCAGUUUAAGGCAGGAAAAGUAUUACAUGAUUCUGGAACACACUUUUGUGCCAGAAACAAGGACUUGUUCAAAGAAUGAUGGAGACAUGUCAAAAGGACACAGAGAUCAGAUUGAAGAGGCUCCUGCUGGCCAAAUCUGUGACAAUUUAAGCUUUAAAGGAAAUAAUUAUAGUAAUGGAUUAAAGCUAAUGAAUAACAUAUAAAUCCAUGAGUCCAUACUGAUAUAAAUAAAUAAAUGAAGUUGAUAGUUUGAUGAAGGAUGGGAUAUUUACAUAGUGUCAAAGUAUCUUCCCACAAAAUGCUUACUAAUUUCAAAGGGGGAAAAAAAUAGUUCUACAGUGGUGAAACCUGACAGACACUUUACUCAAGAUAUUUGACACUAUCAGUGAUGAGACAAAUAAGAAUUGUGACAUUCCUGCCAAAUAAUCUGAAUCUAAUUAUGAGGAAACAUUGGAUAUACCUAGAUUGAGGGGCAUUCUACAGUAACCGGCCAUUUGUAAUCUGCAAAAUUGUCAAAAUUAAGAAAGUCCAGUAAAUACUGAGGAAAGGUUCAAGAUAAAAUGAUAACUAAAGGCAACAUGUGAUUCUGGACUGGAUCUUUCUUCUAUAAAAGACAUUGUUGGGACAAUUUGCAAAAACUCCAGUGGGGUCUGAGGAUUAGUGCUAGUAAUGUAUCACUGUGAAUUUCCUGAGUUUGAUGGUUUGUUGUGGUUGUAUAUAGGAGAAUAUCCUUACUUAGAUAAAUAUACAAUAUAACAUUUGAGAGUGAUCAGACAUUCUCUCUAAUUCUCAAAUUGGUUCAUGAAAAAAGGUUUUGUAUUGUUUUUGCAAUUUUUCUCUAAGUUUCAGAUUGUUACAAAAGUAAUUAAUAAAAUAGGGCCUAAUACUCAAAGAGAUAAUGUGAAUACAAUCAACAUAAAUUAUUUUAAUUAAACUUGUCCAUAGUAUUCAAAGCCCAGUGCCCAGUGAGUUCAUAUAUUUUAACCCAACUAAUUAAAUCACAUCAGAGAUGAGUAGAAACAGAGAUUGUUAUGUGCUUACUGAGUAUUAGGUCCAGGAAAAGGAAACUAUAUAUUUAAGUGUAGGCUAGGCAGCCAGAUCGUCUGGGUUCAAUGCCAGUCCCAUUAGUUACUAGCUAUGUAACCCUGGGGAAUGAAUUAAUCUCUUUGAGCCUCAGUUAUGUCAUUUGUAAAAAGGGGAAUGAUAAUAACAUUCCCAAAAUUUUGUGAAGGUUAAAGAAGAAAACGUUAAGUCAUUAGCAUAAUGUCUAGUGCAUUGCAAGUGCUUAAAAUGGUAGUUCCUAUUAAUGUUAUUGUUUUAUUUAUUUUUUGUACCGCUGCUCUCUCUGUUAGGAAAACUUACCUAUGCUUAUAUUGUUCUCUUUCCCUUCCCAGGUUCUGACUUUGGGGGCAGAAAAGAUUCCCAGAUUCUUUCCAAGUUUCUCUGAACCUAGAAAGUGGUGUAAAGAAGAAGUAAUGAGAGAAAGAGAGAAAGGAGAGAGAGAGAGAAGAAGGAAAAAAGCCCAGCUAAUCAUCUUUCUCCUUAAAACUACACUUCAUUUCACAUGCUUGGGAACCAUGUGUGAGCAAGUCCUUUCUUUUCUAAGCUAAACAAGAACAGUUGCUUUCCCCAUCUGAUCCUCUUCCCAAUAAUUGAAAAUGUUUAUCAUUUUCCUUUGGGAUUGCUUCCAGACCUCCCUCUUCUUUGAAUGUGAGGUUCCAGACUGUCUCCACUAUUCUAAUGGGAGCCUCUCUGAAUUCCAAAUAUAGGUCUUGGAGGAAUAGUCUGUCUUUAUUCCUAUAUACAUCUCAUUACAAUGUGAGCAGCAGAUAUGGUUUGUGAUUUAUCUUCAGAUAAUUUUAUUAAGCAUCUGUAGGUGCAAUUUGAACACGCUGGGGCAAUAUAUAACAAAUAAAUGCAUUAAAGACCUCCUUUCUAAGUAGUAAAAAUAAAUCAGAUGGUGUGAUUUAAGAGCCCCAGAAAAAAAGUAAUAAGAAAUUUUAAAUGGUAUAGAAGGUUAUAGAGUUGCAAACCCCUCAAUCAAGAAAUUACUGAUAUUAAGUAUAAUAUGUAAUUACAUAUUUCUCUUCUACCUGUAACAAAUAAUUUUCCUGCUUUGUAUAGGGAUAGUUCAUAUUAAUAAGAAUGAAUGAUAUUUGAAAUACUGUCUUAAGCCAUUGGAAAAUAAGAAAAUUAGAGCAAUAUUCAUGAAAUUGGUUUAUCAUGAUCUUUUCUGUUUCUAAUUUAUUUCACAAGGAAAACACUUCAUCAACAUAUAAAAAAGGUUUAAACUGAAAUAAUUAUAAUUAAACAUUAUAAUGACAGCUUCCUGAAUAGCGAAAACAUUAACAUAUUUUAGAUAGGAAUUUCUAACAGGAAGUAAAACAAAAUAAAGUCUUCUAUUGUUCAAAGAAAUAUUUUAUUUAUGUUGUCACAAAGAAGAAAGAAGUCUUUAACCCAAGGUCACUGAACACUUGGAUCUCACUUAACUGAGACUAAAAACCCAAGAAAGAGAAUCUGCGUUGUUGUAAAUGAUGACUUUGUUAGGAUGAACUCAUUCCAGUUUUUGAAGAUCAAGGUACAGAGAGAUUCCUUGUCUACAGCAAGAAUAUUUCACAGACACACAAAAAGCUAGGCCUGUGCCUUUCACUCAAUUGAAGCAUAGGGUAGAGAUCCCAGACAGUUAAUUUGGAUUAAUGAAACCUAUUUGUGGAAAUAAUGGGCAAUAUAAUGAUCAUAAUGUGCUAAGAAAAUAAUCUCUCUUUUUUCUGUUGAAAACUAGCACAAGUGGCCUGUGAACUUGCUUGAUGGGAGAAAGCACAUUUAAUCUGGAUGUUCAUUUGCAAAGCAUUUAGUUUAACAGCCAAAGAAAAAUUAUUCCUGCAUAAUUGUUCCGUGAAGCAGAUUUAUCGUGACUAGACCAUUUGUGUGUGUGUGUGUGUGUAUGUGUGUGUGUGUGUGUGUGUGUGUGUGUGUGUGUGUAUUUGGUAGUGCUGUUUUCCAGGCACAUGCAGAAGACAGAUUGUUGACAGUCAAUCAGUCAAUGUUUAGUCAAGGGUGAGAAUACUUUUGUUUUAGUCACAGAUCUUCUCUACCAGCCACAUGAUAUGUUCUCUUUUUAAUCAGUGCCUUAGAAGCUUUUGUGCAUUAUGAGAAUGCUGCUAAAUAUGACAGAUCAGAUACAUCUUUUACUUUAGUCCCGCUAGGAGAAUAAGCUGUUCUUCUUUUACUAGGCAACAGAAGGGGACUUUUUAUGUUACUUAAAGCUCAGCUGUGUGAAGCCUUUGAGAGAUGGUGCUGUCAUGUUGAACUUUCUUGAAUCUUUUACCAGAAGCAAAUGGCUGUCUUCAUUUUCCACAAAGAAUUGCUGUUGAAUUGGAAUGUUCUUGGGAUAUGAGCCUGUACAGUAAACAUGUACACGUUUAGGAUACUUUUUGGCUGACGUUAUACUUAAUAGGUGUGAUGAAACAAAACUGAGUAACAUAUGAGGAAAGCUCUGGCUUGGCCAGCUCAUUCUCUACCCUGUCCUGCACACAGAGGAAGGCUCCACCAUUUCCAGGCAAUUCUUUGAGCUUUUAUUAUGCAAAAUUGGUGGAACGAGGCAAAGAUAAAAAACAAAAAGCAAGGCAGAUGGAUUUUUGACAGAAAAUCAAAAAGCACGGAAAAAAAAAAAAACUAUAACAUCCCGAGGUCUGUAGGCAAGGUACAUACUUUGCUGGGGGGCUCUGGGAACAAAUAAUGAACCUCAUGAAGAGAGAAAUUUGGACGAUGCAAUGAUGUGAAAGCAUAAGCAAUUCUGGGAUAGAAAAGUGAGACACUUCCUGGGCUUGGGAUGUUAUAAAAUUGAGAAGAGAGAAUUUUAAUGUUUUGUUGCAUCCUCGUUAAGAAUGUUGAAAUAUGUACAUAAAUAUUGGAUGUCCUGUCUGGAUGGUACUUCUCUGAAUGUUAGCAGCUCUCCGGGACUGAGCCACAUGAUCAGGACUUCCUGGGGAUUACAUCAGUAUGACAGUUAUAAGCUUUUAUAAUGGGCAUUUUCUGCUGGUGCUUUCUGCUUCAGACACAUUUUGAAACACUGGAAAAUUGCCAAUAAUGAUAGGUUUCUGUGAGUACCUGAGUAUCUUUGAACCGAUAGACUUAUUUAUCUACAAGGCCAUUUUAGAUACUCAUAACACAGAUAUUCUCUGUGUUACCUGAGCGGUGUAUCUGCUGACAGUGCUACAUCAUAAAAUAAGAUUUGUGAUAUUGUUGGAGAUAUAAGAUGGUGAGUGAUGAUCACAGAGUACAGCAUCUUAAGAGUCUGAAGGUGAACUGGAAAAAAUUAAAAUCAAGUUUCAAGAGAUUUAUUUGUCAACAUAAGUCUAGAAAAAAUUUGGCAGGAUGUGUAGAAACAAGUAAAUACAGAAGUGAGACACCAAAUGGCUUAAGACUUCUUUUUGUUUAAAAUAUUUCUAGUGGGUAAGAACCUGAUCGCUUGCUGAAUGUUUUCCUGAAUCUCUGAAGUUUUCUGGGACUUUGAUUUUACAGCAAUAAUAAAAGAUUUUCAAAAGAAAAGCUAAGCAUUUCUCAAGAAUGAUUUCCUUUUCUAAACAGGCAUUCCUGAUUCUACAUGAUUUAACUAAUUAACUAAUUUUCUAACUUUUAAAGUCUCCUUUCCUGCCCACUUGCUGUAGGAGGCACGGGGUGCUACAGCAUGACAAGCCUGAAGAUGAGCCUGAAGAUGAGAUACGGGUUGUAAUAAAGCUAUUAAUUUUAAUCUCCAGUGAGGCUGUGCAAUCAAGUUGGGAAGACCCAGCUACACAGAUCUUAUAGGCCUGACUGCAGACUAAGGUCAUAGGGAUUCUGGGAAGGAUCAGAGAAACCUUCAGAGCACAGCUGAAUGUGUGGCUGCAAAUUUUUAUGGUGCAAUUUAUCACAAUGGCUAACAUGAUAGUAUUAAGAAGUGGGGCCGUUAGGGGGUGAUUAAAUCAUGGAGGUAGAUCCCUCACAACCAGGAUUAGCAAUCUCAUAGAAGGGGUGGAGGUGACUAGCUAGGUCCUUUGCCUUACUGGCCCUCUUCCAUGUGAGGGCACAGUGUCCAUCUCCUCUCAAGGAUGCAACGCUCAAGAUGUUAUAUGUGAAGCAGAGACCAGGACCUCUCCAGACAUUGAACAUGCCAGCUCCUUGAUCUUGGACUUCCCAGCCCCUUCAAUGGUGAGAAAUAAACUUCUGUUGUUUACAAAUUACCUAGUCUCAGAUAUUUUGUUAUAGCAGCACAAAUGGACUAAGACAACAGUCUUUUGAACUCUCUUAGGUCACAUUUGUCCACCUCUUGUGUUCUGCUUAUUUUACGUAACUUGUUUAUACCCAUUUUUGUAUACAAAUAAGCUGUGUUGUUAAUCACAGUAAGAUGCCUCAUAUGGGGAACCAUGAUUUCAUGUCUUCUUGAAGAAGUCUUACACUCUUCUCUAGUUAUAACAAAGAAUUUGGAAAUAAAGAAUCAUAGAGAUACUCUUUUUUCCCUAUGUUCUGAGAGCACAUUUACACAGACACUUUACAGAUACAUUAAUGCCAAGUAUCCCUGCCAGGUACGUAUUUAUUAUACUAGUUGGGAUAAGGAAUUCAUGCUGCUCUAAUAAACAGACCCCUAACUCCUACUGAUUUAGCAAAUGAACAUUUACUAUUGGUUUAUGCAGCACAAGGUGGAUGAUCCUACUUGGUGGGACCACGCAGUCAUUCAGAGAUUCAGAUUCUUUCCAGUCUGUGGCUCUGCUUUCCCCUGGGGCCUUGGAGUCCUCUGCUAGAUCCUCAGUAGGCAGCCAGCAGACAGGGAAGAGAGAGUGUGGAGUGUCACUUGGAGGAUCUGUAUGGGCCAGAUCUGAAGGCAGCAUCCACUACUUCUGCCUUUAUUCUAAUGGCCAGAGUCCUCUAGCCAGGCUGAAUUGCAAGAUAAGCUGGGAAAUCCAGUCUAUCUUUGUGGUCAGAAGGAAAGGGAAUUGGAUUUAGUGAAAAAUGAGCCAGUCUCUGGCAUAGUGUUAUUAUUUUCACAUUACUAACAGGAAAACUAAGUCAUAAAGAGUUUAAAUAAUAUACAAAAGUCACCCAGCUAAUGGUGGUAAGCUAAAAUCUGAUCCCAGGAAUCUGACUCUCGAACAGCACUUUUAACCAUGGUACAGGGGUUCCUCCCCGAGAAAUAAUUCAUGGUACUUCACAUUACUUCAAAUGAGUAAAAUGCGGAAAAUGCAGCAGAGGAAGAGUUUUAUGAACUUUUCCUAGUUCAUAAAAUGUAGCAGACACAGGAUUAGUGUUCAUUUACUCCAUGGAAUCUUUUUUUUUUUUUUUUUUUU
rnacentral:lncRNA from 10 species